GAAUAUUUAAACAGCUUCAAAUGCUUACAGAGUUUCUCAAAAAUAACAUUUCUAGUAAUAGCUUUUUUAGUUUUCUCAUGUAAAGUGAAAUCUAUACUUGUUCUCUCAAAAGUUAAAAUUUGUAGAGUACGUUGUAGGAAGCUAAAAGUUGAACUACAUAUGGCCUUAGCCUUGGAUCUCUACCUUCUUCUGUAGAUUUCUCAUGUUUCGUACCAUUUUGUGCAGGUUAGAGGUCUAGGAAAAGUUUAUUUCUUAGUUAAAAUAUAGGGUAUACAUUUCGAUAAUUUAGAUUGAAUCCAUAUUGAAAAUUUACCUAAAAUCAGGGGGGAAGUAUGUAAGUCACCAAAGUUGUUAACAAAGGUGGUAGAAUUGUUUUGGUGAUACUCCUAGUUUGUUUUGUUAGGAAUAUAUAAAUAGUGAUGAUAAGUGUUGGUCAUUGCAGCUUGGUGUCGCUCCUUGUUUCUUGACUUUCAAACCUUGCAGGUAACAGCUAAAUUCAAGUGUAUAGUUCGGGUAGUGGCUGCAUUUCCAUGGCAAGCAGAGGACUUCUCUCAUCUUGGAACUUAUGGGAUCAGACUGACAAUUGAGGAUCCAACUGCCAGAAUCCAUGCUUUUUUAUUUGCUGAAGAUGGGGAGAAGUUUUUUGAUGGUUAUCCCUCCACCAAUGCGUUGACAGAGAAGCGAAACACAUUGCUUGGCGUGGAAAAGGAAAUCGAGGGUGCUCCCAGAAAUCCACCAUGGGUGCAGUGUUGCCUAAAGUCCUAUUAUCUCAACAGAAACAAUACUUGGGGAAGUAGGCAUUUUAGAAUUUUUGGCACAAAACAUGUGGGUUAAGGAGGCUAAUAAUAACACCUUCAGAUAAGCCUUAAUUGUUCAAGAUAAUGUAAAAACUUAGAUACUUGUAUAAAAUGAAUAGUACACAGUAGAUCCUUGUAUAUAUUUUUUAUCUAAUGGUGUGUAAUUAUGCUACAAGUCCCAUAUGUGGAUUUCUCCA